AUAAAUACAUAAUAAUAUUAUUUUUUCGUUUGCCGACGUUUGAAUCACUCGCGAAUCGCAAUUAUUUGAAAUUUGAACAGAAAUACAGACUACAGUCGUGCAAAGUUCUAUUGAUACAUUUUAGUACAAAAUCACCAUGGAUAAGUGUAUUCUUUUUAGUAAAACAUCCAAACUAUCGCCCCGCCACAUUACGUUAAUUUUCAUUUAUUUCCAAAAAAUCAACGAAUUAAAUGAUUAUCCCAAUUUCUACCCGACAUAGAAUCUGCGGUGAUCAUUUCACAAUCAGUGAUUGUAAACAAUGCUCAGUAAAUUAGUAAACAUGGUCAGAGGCAGUCACAAAACAGAAUCCAAACCACUUAUCUGGGAUAGAGAAGUAAAAUUAAUUUUAGUCAUUUACGGCAACAUUGGUACUACUCUGAGCACGACCAGGAAAUCACAUCUAAGAGAAAACAGUGUUUCUCCAACGAUGAGUUAGCAGAAAAUGAACAGCGAAUAAAGGAUUUGGAGGCCUUACAGUUGAUGAGUUUAAUUCGCCCAGAAAAGUCUUUGAUACUUAAUAAUGUCUAAUUCACACACACUUAUUUCAUACAAUGGAUUAUUGUUUUCUAAACAGAAAUAUAUGAUGUACCACAUACAAGGAACUAAGAAGUGGAGCCAAUGUGUUGACAAUUUUUCAGACGUCGAACUAUGAAACUUAAAGGUGGUAAUGUUGUUGGUAAUACAAUUUUGCUGAGCAAGAAUCCAAUUUUAAUAACGCCGAGGGCCUCAACACAUUUAAAUUGCAAAGAAACACGUAACUUGUCUGGACAUUGCUAUCUUUUCUGAAGGGAAAGCACAUCUGGUUGUAUGCUUUGGACAGUUUGUCAAUCCCAUUUACAACGAGGCAAGACAAACUUCUUUGCAAAAACAGUAUGCAAUUACCAAAAAGCUCCAGUAGCUGUUAUUAAAAUUCUUCAACUAUCAACAAUGGACAUGAUCGAUGUAGACUUUUAAAUUAUGUAUAUUGUUAUACGUACUAUUUCCUUAAAUUUGUAAUUAUUUUUCCUGUGUUUCCCCCCCCCCUCUCAUCACCCAUGAGAAGGAUUAAUUAGUUACUUUAUUUGAUCAAAAAAAACUAUACCUAUGCACUUUGGAGUAAUGUUUGUAAAUAAAAUUAUUUUGUCAAUGACGUAUUUAUAAUUAUAAGAAAACUUUAUUUAAAAUUUUAUAACAAAAAAGAAAAGUAUUUAAAAUCUUUAUAAAUUAUACUAUCAUACUUUUUAUAUUUGUCGUAUUUAUAGUUUAAUUGUAAUUUAAAAUUUAGAAAUAUAUGACAAAUUUGUUGUAAUUUAUUGUUAUACUUAAUCUUUUUUUUUUAAUUUCCCGUUAGCAUCAGUUAUUUUUACAUACUAGAUAAAUUCUUACUGAAUAAGAGAAAAUAAAUUGUAAUAUAAUGUAAGAUUUGACUGUAGUAAACAAUAGACAUAUAAAACAAAUUGUUUUUUGUCUGGAUAUUGCAGAACUUAAAAGUAAACCUUGUGAUUAAUAUGUUAAUUUCAACUUUUUAAUUUAAGCAUUUCAGUUUUUAUUAAAUUAAUUUCUUUACAUUGUAUUAUGAUUAGAGAGCGGAUUUGUAUGCAUUUGCAUAUUUAUUCUGGUUGAUCUUACACUAUGCUGAGUGACCACAGAAUUUGUUUUUAUGACCAUAACGAUUUAAACUGGAACUGCUGCAUAUUUCGAUAAUUAAUUCAUU